ensembl:lncRNA
AUGGUUCCGCAGAGGACUUACAGCCUAGUUACUCCAGCGAUCCCCACCCCUGCCCGGGCAUCAGCGUGGGGCGCCGGAACUUCCCCGGCGCGAGCUUGGCGGGAAUCCCAGGCUGCGGCCCGGCGGGCAGCAGCGCGUUUGCGCGAGGCUCUGGCGCCCCCUGGUGGCCUGGAUGGUGGCGGGCGCCCCGCAGUCCACCUCCUGCAGCCUUCCUGCCAAGAGUCGCUCUUGGAUUCCCCCCCAAGCCUUCCCAGAAGCCUCCCAGGCCUCAGAUUUGAUGCCUCCAAUCCACAGUCAAAUGGCCACGAAGGUCUAGAGCACGGUUGUGGGGCAUAGUUUAAUUUGUGGCUUCUUCCUUUAGUGCUGGGUCACUCUGGGCAAGUGACUUGUGCUCACUGAGCCUCCGUUUCCUCAAAUCUGUAAAAUACAAAUAAAGCAUGAACCUACCUCACAGGAUUGUAUUGCAAACUAAGUAAAAUAAUUAAUGUAGAUGUUCCUGCCACACAAUAGGUGCUCAAUAUAUGCAAUUAUUAUUACUAUUAUUCAUUUCCAAGGCACAAGCCUGAUUAUGUGUCAUGUUUGUGUCCUGCUCUAUACCCUCCACGGCUCCUUUUAGCUUCUGAAUACAAUUCAAGCACCUCAGCCUGACAUCCCAAGCCCUUUCUCAUUCCUGACGACCUCCUCUCGCCACAACAUCUAUCAACUCCAGACUCUCUGGCCAUACCAGACUUUUCUCUGUCUGCUGCUUCUUGCUUUCAGACCUUUGCCCACAUAUUCUCACUGCCUACCGUUCCCUUUCCCUUUCCUCUGCUUGGCAAACUCAUAUAUAUAUGUCCUUCAAAAUCACCUGAAAAAAACAAACAAACCCCCCAAAGAGAAUUCCCUGGUGCCUUCCAUUGCAGGGGGCAUGGGUUCCAUUCCUAGUUGGGGAAUUAAGAUCCUGCAUGCUGCAUGAUGUGGCCAAAACGAAAACAAACCAAAGGAAACCACCUGAAACGUGACCUCUGUCUGAAGUUAACUCCGGUUCCCUGGGACACUGCGCCUUCUGGCCUCCCUUUGGCUUCCUCUGUAUCAAGCCUCUGAGACAGAGAAGUCUUGUCCGUUAGGGUGCAAUCUCAUUCAUUUGUCUGUGUACCUUCCAGGCUUGGAGCUCCUGGGGCGUGAGGCUGAUGUUUUGCUUAUCUCUGAAACUCUGGCUUGCAGCUCUGACCUAGCAGGCAUUAGGCACUUGAAGCAUGGUCUGAGAUAAACAAUAGGUAUUUCAUGAUCAUCGGUGGAUGGUGGUUGAUUCCAAAGCACAGACUUUUGAUGGGAGCCUUGGUUCUGUUACCUUCAUGCCGGCUUGAUCUCUCUAAGCCUCAGUUUCCUCAUCUGCAAAAUGUACUUGUGACGAUUCAGUGAAAUUCUGUGUGUAAAGAGCUUAACACAGGACACUCAAUGAUGCUGAUUAUUAUUAGCUAAACCUGUCUCAGUCCUUCCUUUACCCUGAGGAGUAGAUGACUGAGAACAGCUUAAUAGUCUCCUCCCCUAUCUGUUAAUACAUUAAAAGUAGCACCAACAUGUUAACUAAAGUAUGAAGUGAAAGUGAAAGUCGUUCAGUUGUGUCUGACUCUGCGACCCCAUGGACAGUCCAUGGGAUUCUCCAGGCCAGAAUACCGGAGUGGGUAGCCUUUCUCACCUUCAGGGGAUCUUCCCAACUCAGGUCUCCCACAUUGCAGGUGGAUUGUUUACCNNNNNNNNNNNNNNNNNNNNNNNNNNNNNNNNNNNNNNNNNNNNNNNNNNNNNNNNNNNNNNNNNNNNNNNNNNNNGAAUCGAACUGGGGUCUCCUGCAUUGCAGGCGAAUUCUUUACCAGCUGAGCUACCGGGGAAGCAAUUAUACUCCAAUAUAAAAUAAAUCAACUAAAAAUAAAUUUAGAAAAGGAAUGAAGUACUGAUGCAUGCUACAGUGUGGACGACCCUUGAAGCAAUAUGCUGAGUGAGAGAAGCCAGACACAAAGGAUCACACUGUGAUUCUAUCUGGACACGAUUCCAUUUACAUGAACUAUCCAGAGUAGGUAAAUCCAUAGAGACAGACUCCAUGGUUGCCAGGGCCUGGGAGAAGAGAGAACUUGGAGAGCAGCUGCUAAUGGGUGCUAAUAGGUCUGGGUCUCCUUUUGGGGUGAUGAGAAUGUUCUGGAACUAGAUAAAGAGGUGGUGGUUGCACCACACCAAAUGGACUAACUGCCACCGUGCCGUGUGCUGUGCUUAGAGUCGCUCAGUCAUGUCCAACUCUUUGCGACCCCAUGGGCUGUAGCCCACCAGGNNNNNNNNNNNNNNNNNNNNNNNNNNNNNNNNNNNNNNNNNNNNNNNNNNNNNNNNNNNNNNNNNNNNNNNUCCCAACCCAGGGAUCAAACUCAGGUCUCCUGCACUGCAGGCAGAUUCUUCACUGUCGGAGCCACCAGGGAAGCCCACGUGCCACUGAAUUGUACUUUAAGGUGGUUAAUUUUAUGCCAUGUGAAUUUCAUCUCAAUAAAAAAAUAAAAAACAACGGUUAGCUAAAGGAGUGAGGAUUUGAAGGGAGUUUGGAAAUGGGCUCUUUCCUUCUCCCGUCCUGCCCCCAGGCUGGUUUUGACCCCAAAAUGGGCUGCUCAAGACUUCCCACCCAAGUUGCAGUCCUACCCCUGACCUGGCAGAAGCUGGGGACGGUCCCCCAGAGGGUCUACGGGAGUGUGGGCCACGGCACACCGGCAGAUCAGCCAGGCUGGCUCCAUGGUCACGGUCAGUGUGCGGUGGCCAUGUGACACGUAGCCAGCAUCUGGGAAGCGAGCCUGGCCUCAGGGUGAGCCUAAAGGAGCCCAGGAAGGUUGUCCAGCAGGGAUGCUAGGCUCAAAAGUGGCCACAAGGCAAGCAGGUGCUCUCUGGGGCGUAAGACCUUGAGAUACACAGAGAGGAGCAGAAAAUGGCUAGCGGGCAGGAGGAAAAUGGCAUCAAGAAGUUAGGAGUAACCUUGAAGGCCUAGACUGCUGGCUAAGGAGGCUGCAGUGUCCUCUGCUAGGAGGGCGCUCAGGACCAUUUACCAUCCAGAUUGAAAAGGGUUGUCUCAGAAGAAAAAAAAAAAAAAGGGUUGUUUCUGGAGCCUCAGGCGGCUUCAUCACUUCCCUUCAGCAUCUGGCACUGGGCUGGGGGGUGCCUGAGCAGAGUGCCUCAGGCUAUUCCCCUGGCCAAAAGCUGGACUCCGGGGCCAGCGGCCUGGGGCCUGUAGUCU